CUAAACAAGUGAGAUCCCGGCGCUCACAGAACCCACACUCUGCUGGGGAGGCCAACAGUCAGCACACACACAAGCCAAUGAAAACGAAAGACCACAAAAGGCUCCAGGCUCCCAUAGAGACUAAGGAGGGACCCGCUGUCAGCCAGGGGAAAAAUCUGUGAUUGACCUGGCUGAGACCUUCGCCCCAUACGCUUCUGGGCAUCCCGAGAGAUCCAAGACUCUGGGGUCCAUCCGGGGAGUGGCUGUGGAGCAGCUAAGAGGGGAAGUGGGCAUUAGACAUGUCCUCUCUGGAAAGAAAAAGGUGAACACCCAGGAGAAGAGCUAGCAGGGAGAAGGAGGAGCGGGCCAAUCACGAAGGAGAAAGGGUCUUUGGUGGCUCAGAUGAACCAAUCCCAGUGCCUUCUAACAGUUGGAGAGUAAGAAGGAUCCUGGAGCGGGGGAACUUCUGACAGCUCCUGCUCAUCCCCGGAGAAGACAGAAGCCCAUCACCUGGUACACUUCAGAGGAACACGCACCUGACAGCCAAGGAGAACUGGGCAGUAGUCCUCGGAUGUUGGGCGUCAUUUUCCGUGGGCAGUUGGGAGUCACUGUGCUUCUCCCACAAAAACUCUUCUCACAGUCCAACUUGUAUACAAACCCAUCAGACUGCUAGCCCCAGGGCAGGUACCUACCUAUCUUCCUGUCCCAGUACUGAGGGGCUCAAUAACUAUUGUUAACCUGAAGACACCGAAAACCUUGACAGCGCUGAGCUUGUUACAGCACCAUCUUGCUGUGUGUCCAUGUGCAGGUGCAACUGUACGUGAGAUCAGCGGCCAACCACCACCCUUUCCCAGGCCACACUCCAUCAGCAAGAGACUAUGCUACACCCCAAGACGAGAUGCAGCCAAUAAACAUGUCUAUGUAUUGACCUGA
rnacentral:lncRNA from 1 species